rnacentral:RNase_P_RNA from 1 species
GAGGCUGGCCGGGUGAUCGCGUGGCGAAAAUCACGAGGAAAGUCCGCGCUCCGUAGGGUACGGUGCCGGUUAACCGCCGGACGAGGUAACUCGCUGGAAAAGUGCAACAGAGAACGGAUUGCCCAUGUGAAUGGGUGAGGGUGAAAAGGUGCGGUAAGAGCGCACCAGCAUCUCUGGUAACAGGGGUGGCUGGGUAAACCCCGCCGGGAGCAAGGUCAAGCAGGCGCAAGGGGCGACCCGUCCCAUUUGAGCGCCGGGUAGACUGCUUGAGGCAGUCCGCAAGGGCUGCCCUAGAUAGAUGAUCACCGCCCAGUAAUGGGAACAGAACGCGGCUUACAGGACGGCCUUGCUG